CCUACGGGAGGCAGCAGUGGGGAAUCUUGCGCAAUGGGCGAAAGCCUGACGCAGCAACGCCGCGUGCGGGAAGAAGGCUUUCGGGCUGUAAACCGCUUUCAGCAGGAACGAAAAUGACGGUACCUGCAGAAGAAGGAGCGGCCAACUAUGUGCCAGCAGCCGCGGUGAUACAUAGGCUUCAAGCGUUGUCCGGAUUUAUUGGGCGUAAAGAGUUCGUAGGCGGUCGAGUAAGUCGGGUGUGAAAAUUCUGGGCUCAACCCAGAGACGCCACCCGAUACUGCUUGACUUGAGUUCGAUAGGGGAGUGGGGAAUUCCUAGUGUAGCGGUGAAAUGCGCAGAUAUUAGGAGGAACACCGGUGGCGAAGGCGCCACUCUGGAUCGAUACUGACGCUGAGGAACGAAAGCAUGGGUAGCAAACAGGAUUAGAUACCCUGGUAGUCCAUGCCGUAAACGGUGGGCACUAGGUGUGGGUUUCUAUUAACGAAAUCCGCGCCGUCGCUAACGCAUUAAGUGCCCCGCCUGGGGGAGGUACGGUCGCGAGACGUAAACGUACAAGAAGUAAGUAGCGUUGNGUAGUUAGUUCGACGACGACGACGAGGAGGAGGAG
rnacentral:rRNA from 1 species